rnacentral:tRNA from 1 species
GCUAGAAUAGCUCAGUUGGUUAGAGCAUGUGGCUGUUAACCACAAGGUCGGAGGUUCAAGCCCUCCUUUUAGCG